rnacentral:rRNA from 1 species
GCUUGCUCCUUAGUGGCGAACGGGUGAGUAAUACAUAAAUAAUCUGCCUCAAUGUCUGGGAUAACUAUUGGAAACGAUAGCUAAUACCGGAUAGCUAAUCGGAAGACAUCUUCUGAUUACUAAAGGAGCGUUCGCUCCGCUUUGAGAUGAGUUUAUGGCGCAUUAGUUAGUUGGCGGGGUAAUGGCCCACCAAGACGAUGAUGCGUAGCCGAUCUGAGAGGAUGACCGGCCACACUGGGACUGAGACACGGCCCAGACUCCUACGGGAGGCAGCAGUAGGGAAUUUUCGGCAAUGGGCGAAAGCCUGACCGAGCAACGCCGCGUGAGUGAUGAAGGCCUUCGGGUUGUAAAGCUCUGUUGUUAGGGAAGAAUGAUCAGGAUAGGAAAUGAUCUUGAAGUGACGGUACCUAACCAGAAAGCCACGGCUAACUACGUGCCAGCAGCCGCGGUAAUACGUAGGUGGCAAGCGUUAUCCGGAAUUAUUGGGCGUAAAGGGUGCGUAGGCGGUUUCUUAAGUCUUAUGUGAAAUCUCAGAGCUUAGCUCUGGGCUGCAUAAGAAACUAUUAGACUAGAGUGCAGGAGAGGGCAACGGAAUUCCAUGUGUAGCGGUAAAAUGCGUAGAUAUAU